GACGAACGCUGGCGGCGUGCCUAAUACAUGCAAGUAGAACGCUGAAGAGAGGAGCUUGCUCUUCUUGGAUGAGUUGCGAACGGGUGAGUAACGCGUAGGUAACCUGCCUGGUAGCGGGGGAUAACUAUUGGAAACGAUAGCUAAUACCGCAUGAUAUUAAUUGUCGCAUGAUAAUUAAUUGAAAGAUGCAAUUGCAUCACUACCAGAUGGACCUGCGUUGUAUUAGCUAGUUGGUGAGGUAACGGCUCACCAAGGCGACGAUACAUAGCCGACCUGAGAGGGUGAUCGGCCACACUGGGACUGAGACACGGCCCAGACUCCUACGGGAGGCAGCAGUAGGGAAUCUUCGGCAAUGGGGGGAACCCUGACCGAGCAACGCCGCGUGAGUGAAGAAGGUUUUCGGAUCGUAAAGCUCUGUUGUAAGAGAAGAACGGGUGUGAGAGUGGAAAGUUCACACUGUGACGGUAUCUACCAGAA
rnacentral:rRNA from 1 species